AUUGAACGCUGGCGGCAUGCUUUACACAUGCAAGUCGAACGGUAACAGGCCGCAAGGUGCUGACGAGUGGCGAACGGGUGAGUAAUGCAUCGGAACGUGCCCAGUCGUGGGGGAUAACGCAGCGAAAGUUGCGCUAAUACCGCAUACGAUCUAUGGAUGAAAGCGGGGGACCGUAAGGCCUCGCGCGAUUGGAGCGGCCGAUGUCAGAUUAGGUAGUUGGUGGGGUAAAGGCUCACCAAGCCGACGAUCUGUAGCUGGUCUGAGAGGACGACCAGCCACACUGGGACUGGGACACGGCCCAGACGCCUAUGGGAGGCAGCAGUGGGGAGUUUUGGACAAUGGGCGAAAGCCUGAUCCAGCAAUGCCGCGUGUGUGAAGAAGGCCUUCGGGUUGUAAAGCACUUUUGUCCGGAAAGAAAUGGCUCUGGUUAAUACCUGGGGUCGAUGACGGUACCGGAAGAAUAAGGACCGGCUAACUACGUGCCAGCCGCCGCGGUAACAC
rnacentral:rRNA from 1 species